UGUGUGUGUGUAUAUGUAUAUGUGUGUGUGUCUGUGUGUGUGAGACAGAUGAUGGAACAUGUAGGUUAUUUUAAGGCAAUGGGGGAGCAUAGCAUAGAUCAGGCAAGCAAGUCUUACUAGAGUCAGUAAACGUAACAGCCAGAAUCUGCUGGAAACCAUCAACAAGUAGGCUGUUUUCUUAUUUUCAGACACACACACACCUUUGUUCAGGAUACCUUCCGUAGCUGUCAGUCAAAUGCCGUUUUUCCCAACGUCCCUGUACACAUGUAUGCAGGGCUUGGCUGAGCAUGCAUGUGUUUUUAAUGGCAGGAGCGGAAUAAACCAUUGUCAGGCAUGCUGAAGUCUAAAAUGCCCAGUCCUCCUUAUGACAGACAUUAUCUGUCAGGGGAGAGUUGGCACACCCCCAGUACACUUGAGCUAAUUGGCUAGUCCCAUCAAAAGUCAGAUUAAGCUCAUUUUUUGUGGCUCGGAUGCGGACCCCUUCACUUCAGUGCGGCCUCAAAAGAUUCAGACUGCACUCCGAGUGCUGCCCGCAAAGAAAUAAAACAUGUCCCACUGCAGACAAGAAUAGGCAUUUCUAUCAUGAGCUGCCCGUUCCAGUCUGCAAAUUGCGGAACGCACACGGCCAUCAUCUGUGUUUUGCAGAUCCGCAAACAUGGCGCGGUCGUGUGCAUGAGCCCUAACAGUGCUGCUCUGCAGUCAUCAAAGGGGUUGUCCCAUUAUAACAGCAUAGCCCCUGUCCUUUACAUAGGGAACAAGUGUUUGAUUGGAAGGGGUCCGACAGCUGGGGCCACCACCGAUCAUUAGAGCGGGAGCUCCAUUCAACUCUAUGGGACUGCUGGAAAUGAGAGUACAAGCGUUCUGGUACCUCCGCAGCCCCAUAGAGAUGAAUGAGGCAGCAGUGCACGUGUGUGUUCGCUGCUCUAUUCAAAUAGGGCAACACAGGCCCCAUUCAUGAGUAAUCAGCAGGGGUCCGACCGAAGAGGUCCCAGAUAGACACUUAAGGGAUAAGGUGUUGUAACGGGAUAACCACAUUAACACGUUCCAUACUCAGUCAUAUUAAGGGUAGAUAUACACAUGGCAGACUUGGUUCAGAAAGUUUUUGCAAAGAAUUUCAUAAACUUCUUGAAUUCAUGUGUUACCUCUGGUAACAGCCAAUCACAUUCACAGCCUUCACCCUUGUGCCCCCAAACUACUAAAUGGAUCCAUCAACAGCAGGUUGUUCGUGGUUUCCAAGUCCCCCUGAUUCCGGAUGUGACGUUCACGGACCGCUGGUACGGCUCUGAGCCAUUCUAGGAGGGUUUAUAAUGUGCAUUAAAGUCGUAUAGAGAAAAGUCUAUGGUUCUGUUUGAAACCAAAUUAAGAGAAGAAAAACCUAUUGUCAGAAUAUGCUGGGAGUUUAUAUUCCUACGGAGCUCGACAUAGACAUGUGAAGUCAGGGUUGGUUUGCUGUACACAGCACCAGUGCUGAACAAUGACCGCUAUGGUCAGCCAUCCUACCUAAAUCGGUGCCUUGCAACAUUUUAAAACAUUUGGCACAAAAAACUAAUAUUUAUACACACACAAUGUAUCUACCUGAGGAUGACUCCAGGGCAAAUUUAGAAUUUUAGGGGAGCAUUUUCUGCACCCCUUGACCUGUUCUAGUAUAAUAUUGGAAGGCAUCGACAUUUCUAAUGACUACAGAACAGGUCGGGCACAGCUGACCCCAGGGCUGUAGAGGGGUCCGUGUAUGAUAUUGUACAAUCAGAGUGGCUCGGUGUACAGAUUGUGUGGUAAUUCCUGUUUAACCAAAUAUGUAAUAUUUUACGCAAAAAUGAAUAUAGUAUAUUUUUGCCAUGGAAAUAAAAUAUUUGGGGCGGUUACCAGAGUCCUGCAGUCUUUGUUCUUGUGCAGCACAAGAUGGGCGCCAUUACCCCGAACAGAAGAGGAAGAGAAAAACAGUGUUAGAGUUGGGGUACAUUCCCACGACAGUGUGUAUUUUGUUUUAUUUUUUUGUGGACUUAUUGCCUUCUAUAGGUCCACAUCUGUGUCCAAGAAUAGGACACAUCCGUGUGCUUUCUGCAUCCGUAUGCGCUACAGGCCACAAAUCCAGACCACAAAUCCAGACCACAGACCCGCUGAACUCAAUGGGUCAA